AUACGGAGGGUGCAAGCGUUAUCCGGAAUCAUUGGGUUUAAAGGGUCCGUAGGCGGGCUAAUAAGUCAGGGGUGAAAUCCCACAGCUUAACUGUGGAACUGCCCUUGAUACUGUUGGUCUUGAGUUACAGUGAAGUGGUUAGAAUGUGUAGUGUAGCGGUGAAAUGCAUAGAGAUUACACAGAAUACCGAUUGCGAAGGCAGAUCACUAACUGUAUACUGACGCUAAUGGACGAAAGCGUGGGGAGCGAACAGGAUUAGAAACCCGUGUAGUCC
rnacentral:rRNA from 1 species